UACGUAGGGUGCGAGCGUUGUCCGGAAUUAUUGGGCGUAAAGAGCUUGUAGGCGGUCUGUCGCGUCUGCUGUGAAAAUCCGGGGCUCAACCCGGACUUGCAGUGGGUACGGGCAGACUAGAGUGUGGUGGGGGAGACUGGAAUUCCUGGUGUAGCGGUGAAAUGCGCAGAUAUCAGGAGGAACACCGAUGGCGAAGGCAGGUCUCUGGGCCACUACUGACGCUGAGAAGCGAAAGCAUGGGGAGCGAACAGG
rnacentral:rRNA from 1 species